CUCACCUGGGAAACCAGUGGGAUGAGGGUCUGUUCUACCGACCGAGUUUUGAUUUCCAGUCCGGAAUCAAAGUUACUAUUGCCGCAAGGAGACGAAGCCAUUCCCGCCGGUUUCUUUUAAUCACUGGUGCGACGUACAGGUCCUGACCAGAUGGCCACUGGUGAUGGAGAAGACCUGGAUUCCAUUGGCCAGGCUCACUCGUCUUUAUCGAUGAUGCAAUGGAGGAUGGCAGCAGUAGGAUGAAUUUGGAAGUGUACAGACAGAUUUUUCCUCGAUGUGUGCAAAUAAAUUCCUCCUACCUCAGUGGCCUGCACUUCAUCCAGCAGCAAGACAAUGAUCCUGAACACUGCCUACGCAACCAAAGCAUUCAUCAAUGGGAAAAAGUGGAAAGUUUUGGGCUAGGUCAGUCACCUGUUUUAAAUCCAAUCAAGCAUGCAUUUCACUUGCUGAAGAGGAGACUGAAGACAGAAACCCUCCAAAAUAAAGAUCAAUUGAAAGCGGCGGCACCGAAGGCCAGGAAAGGCAUUUCCAAAAACAACACCGAAUGAUUCAUGAUGUUAAUUUGUCGUAGACUUAGCUAAUCUGUGAACUUACGCUUGUACAGUUGAAAAUGGGGGAACUCAACACAUAAACAGCUGUUUCAGUAAAAUGGUAAAACAUAUACACAUGGCAGGUAAAUACCAUGAUAUGAAAGCUGGUUGUCUGUGCUUUUGCCUCAUAUUCAUCUUUUGAUGUCUAAUCAAAAUGCCAAAAAUGAUACAUUUCACUCUAAUAUACUUUUGGAAGGCACUGUAUGUGUCCUGGGGCACAUGUUAAAGGGAACCCCACCUGUUAAGACUUAGGCAUUCAUAUGGUGUAAAUGCCUUCAAUAAUAUAAAUAUGCCAUAAAAACCACAUAAAAGAUUUUAGUUAUUUUAAAAUGAGUAAAAAUCCUUUUGGCUCACAGGUCACCAUUGUUAAUACCAUCACAAUGCACUCUGGGUAGUGAUGUAAAAUGGUUGUCGGUCCAUUGCUCUUGUCCAUUGAAUGGCAUUGAAAAUGUUUUCUGUUCAGCCUUUUUGAUUCGGGCCAGAGCUGGACAUUACUCAUCAAAUAAAUCAAAACGAUUAAGAUCGGAGUCCAGAUAACAACAUAACAAUUUCUCUAUCCUCAUGGACCAGGUCAAACUGGGUUUAACACGUUUAUGUCUACCUCUAUCUUCUGGGGCACAUAAUUCAUUUUAGAAGAAUGUGCUACCUAAAUUCUUUUAACCUUUUCUCUCCCAAACUGCAUAAUACUGUUGAUUAUUAUUUCUGCGUACACAUAGAAAGGGAAAUAUAUGUCCGUAUGUAAUUUUUAUUUUAUUUUUAUUUAACCAGGAAAACCCCAUUGAGAUUGAAAUCUCUUUUGCAAGGGGGACCUGACAUAUAACACAAUGUUACCCAACAAGACUUACACCUAACAAAAUGUACAAACAUCAAAUGGGGAAUGAGACAGAGUGUAACAAUAAUUAAAAGUACAGAAGAGGUUAAAAGUAGGAGCAUACUUCGGUCACAGAGUCAUGUUUAAAGUCCACAAUUGAAAUUAAUUUGUCAAGUUAAAAAUUCUUUUGCAGAUUGUGUUCCAACUAUAAGGUGCAAAAUAUCUGAAACCUAUCUUACCAAAUUCAGUAGUGGGACGAGGGACUUUAAAGAGUAUCACGUCCCCAGAGCGGAGGUGAUAAUUAUGUGAAUUUCUAAUUAGCAGACAGCUGCUUUCUUCAGAGACCCGGUUAGUGCCUAACACAUGGAAUUCACAUUAUUCAGAUUUUUUUUUUAGUAUUCAUGGUAAAAAGACAUUCAGUUUGCCUGCUGUUUGUGUAGAGAGAUAUGCGAGAUAUCUUCCAUAUCUGCUCCAGUAGUUUUACAGAUAUGUUUUGGGAUGCAUAGGAGUUUCUUGAUGUUCUCUUUGAGAGAUUAUUUAGCCAAGCAUUCCAGCAGGUGUUUAAAACUGACUACAUUGUAAUAAAAAAAGCAUCAUGAUGUCCCGGUCAACCAGCAUUUGCUGUAUUUCAUAUUGGACACGCUUUCAUUUAUAGGAUGCAGGACCUUCACGGAUGACGCUGCUCAUCCUCUAUCUAGACUCGUAUGUGGAUCAUUGCCUCUCUUAGUUCCCAGAACCUGUAAUAUUCCUGCUGCAAAACGUUCACUAAAAUAUGGGCUCAAUUUAGGAAAUUUUCACUUUCAGUCAUUCUGCUCUCCCCAGUUGCUGAAAAUCAUACUUAGAUCCCUUGUAUCCUUUAAUGAUUGGUACAGAAAGGGCUUAAAAUGUCUGAUAGAUUUGUUUAACAAUUGCUUUGGCUCUUUUAAUAGCUAUUCCAUAUUUAUAACAUUAUAAACUCUUAACUUUGUGAGGUUUUUACAGCCAAGAUGGUAUGAAUGCAAAUACCCCAAUUGCCUGUUACCACCCAACAGUCCCAUCAAUGCGCUGAAUCUGGAAUCACAGGUACAGCGUCUAGGCUGGAUAAUUGUAUUUCUAAUUUGAAUGGUCUGUCCAUGUCUACCCAGGGAUCUGCAGCGGAGCAAUUUAAUAUGGUGCUUACAGAUGACUUAUGGCUCACUCCCUGCACCUGCCAUGCACUGAUUUAAUUUAAAGUUCUUCAGUGACUUCAUAAGUAAAAUAUAAUUACAAAUGCACCCAGAGGAUCUAACAUCUGGUGGACCUCAGAUGUAACAGAUGUAGAACAGCCCCAGACUCAUUUUCACACAUUCUCAUUUUCACCAAUAGUUCAUGCCCUGGAUUAAUGAGUUCUGUAGUUCUGAGUCUGAACCUCUUUCCUAAAUAAUGAAAAAUGUGUGAAAUGUGUUAUUUAAAAAAAAUCUUUAUGAGUGUAGUGCUAAUUCUACCAAUGUUAAUGGGGGAGGUGAUGAAGAUUAAGGUGACAGCAAUGACGAAGAUGCAAUUGCCUGAAU